CUGUCAAGUGGGACUGACCACUAUUCAGCAUCCUACAGACUUUGAGCAGUAGAAAAUAGGAAAGGGCUGUGAAGCUUCUCACAGCAGUAGUUGUUUCCUUCCUAGGAUUCCCCACACUGCUUUCUGGGAUAAAGCAAUGGUCCGGGCAGUGCACCACACAUCUCUGCUCUUCCGCCUCAGGCCUGCCCGCUGGAGUGGCCACAGCAUCCACAGCUCUCCACCAGAGGGGAAAGUGGGACCGGUGGAGACAAUCAUUGGAUUCUCAGCAUUUUCACUGGCAGUUCUUGGACCAGCUGGAUGGAUCCUGUACCACCUUCCAAGCUAUAAAAUGGAAUAAAAAACAUCCCUCUGAAAUUAAGAUCUGGAAGCUGCGCUUUGUCAGUGAAUCCAGCAUCUUGAUCUGAGGCCCAGAUAUGCAUUUGGAAACUUUCCUACAGAUUUUAAUGAGUUUUGGAUAAGGGCCUAUCCAGGGAAAAAUCCAUGCCAGAAACUGAAGUGAAUCCGGGCGAGCGCUCUGUGAAACACUGCUCUUGCAUGCCAUGAAUAUAUCCACUGACAUCAAUUAGGCUGUUCUGCAGAAUCUUUUGUAAAAAAGCAUUUUGAACAUUUCUGUGUGCCUGCCUGUCCUGCACCCAAUUUUGUCCUCCAUGUCU